UCAUUUAUUCAGUAGCAGUUUUAUUUCCUUGGUGUUUAAGUUCUGCAACUCUUUGUAAAUUCUGGGUAUGAGUUCUUUGCCUGAAAUGUGUCUGAUAAAGAUUUCUCCCAUUCUGUGGGCUCUCCUGUUUGUUUCCUUUAUCUUACAGAAAACAGAAUAAAACUAAACAAAAAGCCCCAAACACAACAAACAAACAUAAUCUUGAACACUAAAAGAACUGCUAGAGGUCUCAUCAUUCCCAAUUUCAAGUUGUACUACAGACCUACAGUAAUGAAAAACCAAAAGAAAGAAAGAAAGAAAGAAAGAAAGAAAGAAAGAAAGAAAGGAAGGAAGGAAGGAAGGAAGGAAGGAAGGAAGGAAGGAAGGAAGGAAAGAAGGAUGAGGAAACAAAAACUCACAUGGUAUUGGCAUAAACAUAGAGAAAUCCAAUCAAUGGAAUCUAAUUGAAGACCCAGACAUAUAUCCUCACACCUAACUAUGGGCAUGUGAUUUUGAUUUAAAUGAAAAUUUAAAAAGCCAGAAAUACACUUUGAAAAAAGACAGCAUCUUCAACAAAUGAUGCUGGUCAAAGUGGAUGUCUCCUUUGAUCCGUAUUUAUUACCCUGCACAAAACUCAAGUCCAAGUGGAUCGAAGACUUCAACAUAAAACCAGAUAUACUGAAAAUAAUAGAAGAGAAAGUGGGGAAUAGCCUUAAACACAUUAGUACAGGAGAAGACGUU
rnacentral:lncRNA from 1 species